GUAGGUGGCAAGCGUUGUCCGGAAUUAUUGGGGCGUAAAGCGCGCGCAGGGUGGUUCUUUAAGUCUGAUGUGAAAGCCCCCGGGCUCAACCGGGGAGGGUCAUUGGAAACUGGGGAACUUGAGUGCAGGAGAGGAAAGUGGAAUUCCACGUGUAGCGGUGAAAUGCGUAGAUAUGUGGAGGAACACCAGUGGCGAAGGCGACUUUCUGGCCUGUAACUGACACUGAGGCGCGAAAGCGUGGGGAGCAAACAGGAUUAGAUACCCUGGUAGUCCACGCCGUAAACGAUGAGUGCUAAGUGUUGGGGGGUUUCCGCCCCUCAGUGCUGCAGCUAACGCAUUAAGCACUCCGCCCGGGGAGUACGGUCGCAAGACUG
rnacentral:rRNA from 1 species